GACGAACGCUUUCGGCGUGCUUAACACAUGCAAGUCGAACGGAAAGGCCCUGCUUUUGUGGGGUGCUCGAGUGGCGAACGGGUGAGUAACACGUGAGUAACCUGCCCUUGACUUUGGGAUAACUUCAGGAAACUGGGGCUAAUACCGGAUAGGAGCUCCUGCUGCAUGGUGGGGGUUGGAAAGUUUCGGCGGUUGGGGAUGGACUCGCGGCUUAUCAGCUUGUUGGUGGGGUAGUGGCUUACCAAGGCUUUGACGGGUAGCCGGCCUGAGAGGGUGACCGGCCACAUUGGGACUGAGAUACGGCCCAGACUCCUACGGGAGGCAGCAGUGGGGAAUAUUGCACAAUGGGCGGAAGCCUGAUGCAGCAACGCCGCGUGCGGGAUGACGGCCUUCGGGUUGUAAACCGCUUUCGCCUGUGACGAAGCGUGAGUGACGGUAAUGGGUAAAGAAGCACCGGCUAACUACGUGCCAGCAGCCGCGGUGAUACGUAGGGUGCGAGCGUUGUCCGGAUUUAUUGGGCGUAAAGGGCUCGUAGGUGGUUGAUCGCGUCGGAAGUGUAAUCUUGGGGCUUAACCCUGAGCGUGCUUUCGAUACGGGUUGACUUGAGGAAGGUAGGGGAGAAUGGAAUUCCUGGUGGAGCGGUGGAAUGCGCAGAUAUCAGGAGGAACACCAGUGGCGAAGGCGGUUCUCUAGGCCUUUCCUGACGCUGAGGAGCGAAAGCGUGGGGAGCGAACAGGCUUAGAUACCCUGGUAGUCCACGCUGUAAACGGUGGGUACUAGGUGUGGGGUCCAUUCCACGGGUUCCGUGCCGUAGCUAACGCUUUAAGUACCCCGCCUGGGGAGUACGGCCGCAAGGCUAAAACUCAAAGGAAUUGACGGGGCCCCGCACAAGCGGCGGAGCAUGCGGAUUAAUUCGAUGCAACGCGUAGAACCUUACCUGGGUUUGACAUGGAUCGGGAGUGCUCAGAGAUGGGUGUGCCUCUUUUGGGGUCGGUUCACAGGUGGUGCAUGGCUGUCGUCAGCUCGUGUCGUGAGAUGUUGGGUUAAGUCCCGCAACGAGCGCAACCCUUGUUCACUGUUGCCAGCACGUUAUGGUGGGGACUCAGUGGAGACCGCCGGGGUCAACUCGGAGGAAGGUGGGGAUGACGUCAAGUCAUCAUGCCCCUUAUGUCCAGGGCUUCACGCAUGCUACAAUGGCUGGUACAGAGAGUGGCGAGCCUGUGAGGGUGAGCGAAUCUCGGAAAGCCGGUCUCAGUUCGGAUUGGGGUCUGCAACUCGACCUCAUGAAGUCGGAGUCGCUAGUAAUCGCAGAUCAGCAACGCUGCGGUGAAUACGUUCCCGGG
rnacentral:rRNA from 1 species